UACGAAGGUCCCAAGCGUUGUUCGGAUUUACUGGGCGUAAAGAGUACGUAGGCGGCAAGGUAAGUCAGAUGUGAAAGCCCGGGGCUCAACCUCGGAACUGCAUCCGAUACUGCCUUGCUGGAGUAGUGGAGGGGAGUCUGGAAUUCACGGUGUAGCAGUGAAAUGCGUAGAUAUCGUGAGGAACACUAGUGGCGAAGGCGAGACUCUGGACACUUACUGACGCUGAGGUACGAAGGCCAGGGUAGCGAAAAGG
rnacentral:rRNA from 1 species